GCUAGUUGUGUGGGUGCAACCAAACUUGGAGUCUACGCUUGGAGCACGCUAGCAGAGAAUGUCUAAUUAAGGAACGGGCUCCGAUGCUAGUUUCCUAUAUUCCUUGAGGUACAUUGAUAGUUAAUACAGCCAGUGUACCUGAUACACGGGGCAAGUCGUUAACAAAAUGUUUCCCCUCUCUAUCGGCAGUUAUCUUUCGGCUGUUCCUAGGGCCUUCAAGAUCACUCCACUGGAUCACUGGACCAUUAUUUACAUCAGCAUGGAGAACAUGUAGCCUACCACUGAAUAGAAAAUACAUCUCCUUCCCUCCUAUAUUUGUUCUUUAAAAUGGGUUUCUUAGGUCUAUUGUAUUCUAGUCUUUGAACACCAUUAUUGUAGACUUCUCCCCUGUCCUGUCUGAUAAAUUUAAAAUUGCAUUUUUAAAUAUUAUUCCCUAAUGCUGGGAUAUGUGAACUUUAAUAAAUAAUUUUAUUCAUUA